UUCCGGUUGAUCCUGCCGGACCUGACUGCUAUCGGAUUGAUACUAAGCCAUGCGAGUCAUUGUAGCAAUACAAGGCAUACGGCUCAGUAACGCGUAGUCAACCUAACCUAUGGACGGGAAUAACCUCGGGAAACUGAGAAUAAUGCCCGAUAGAACAUUAUACCUGGAAUGGUUUAUGUUCCAAAUGAUUUAUCGCCGUAGGAUGGGACUGCGGCCUAUCAGUUUGUUGGUGAGGUAAUGGCCCACCAAGACUAUUACAGGUACGGGCUCUGAGAGGAGUAGCCCGGAGAUGGGUACUGAGACACGGACCCAGGCCCUAUGGGGCGCAGCAGGCGAGAAAACUUUGCAAUGUGCGAAAGCACGACAAGGUUAAUCCGAGUGAUUUCUGCUAAAGAAAUCUUUUGUUAGUCCUAGAAACACUAACGAAUAAGGGGUGGGCAAGUUCUGGUGUCAGCCGCCGCGGUAAAACCAGCACCUCAAGUGGUCAGGAUGAUUAUUGGGCCUAAAGCAUCCGUAGCCGGCUCUGUAAGUUUUCGGUUAAAUCUGUACGCUCAACGUACAGGCUGCCGGGAAUACUGCAGAGCUAGGGAGUGGGAGAGGUAGACGGUACUCGGUAGGAAGGGGUAAAAUCCUUUGAUCUAUCGAUGACCACCUGUGGCGAAGGCGGUCUACCAGAACACGUCCGACGGUGAGGGAUGAAAGCUGGGGGAGCAAACCGGAUUAGAUACCCGGGUAGUCCCAGCUGUAAACUAUGCAAACUCAGUGAUGCAUUGGCUUGUGGCCAAUGCAGUGCUGCAGGGAAGCCGUUAAGUUUGCCGCCUGGGAAGUACGUACGCAAGUAUGAAACUUAAAGGAAUUGGCGGGGGAGCACCACAAGGGGUGAAGCUUGCGGUUCAAUUGGAGUCAACGCCGGA
rnacentral:rRNA from 1 species